CCUACGGGAGGCAGCAGUGAGGAAUAUUGGUCAAUGGGCGCGAGCCUGAACCAGCCAAGUCGCGUGAGGGAAGACGGUCCUAUGGAUUGUAAACCUCUUUUGUCGGGGAGCAAAAGACGCCACGCGUGGCGUUCCGAGAGUACCCGAAGAAAUAGCAUCGGCUAACUCCGUGCCAGCAGCCGCGGUAAUAGGGGGGAUGCGAGGGUUAUCCGGAUUUAUUGGGUUAAAAGGGUGAGCAGGCGGAAGAUAAAGUCAGCGGGAAAAUUGAGUGGCUAAACCUCUGCGGGCAGUUGAAACUGGUUUUCUUGAGUGAGUGAGAGGUAAGCGGAAUGCGAGGUGUAGCGGUGAAAUGCAUAGAUAUCACGAAGAACACCGAUUGCGAAGGCAGCAUACCGGCGCUCAACUGACGCUCAUGCACGAAAGUGUGGGUAUCGAACAGGAUUAGAUACCCUAGUAGUC
rnacentral:rRNA from 1 species